UUGAACUCCACUCCAGGAUGCAGUGCAUCACCUCAGUGGGGUGAUGACUAUACCUUUCUACUUGGAGUGUACUUCAAGAUGUAGUGAAUCAAUAACCCAAAGAGGGUAAAGUGUAAAUGUACAUGUUGCGGAUAAAGUGGUUGCAGUGGUUAUCUUAUUGAACUCCACUCCAGGAUGCAGUGCAUCACCUCA